rnacentral:rRNA from 1 species
GGGACGAACGCUGGCGGCGUGCUUAACACAUGCAAGUCGAGCGAACCUUCGGGUUAGCGGCGAACGGGUGAGUAACACGUGGGCAACCUGCCCCGAGCUCUGGGAUAACUCCGGGAAACCGGGGCUAAUACCGGAUAUGACCCGAGAAGACAUCUUCUCGGGUGGAAAGUUUUUCGGCUCGGGAUGGGCCCGCGGCCUAUCAGCUUGUUGGUGGGGUAACGGCCUACCAAGGCGACGACGGGUAGCC